UGGGUCGACUGGACGGUCGCGUGGCGGGCAACCGCACCGAGGAACGUCCGGGCUCCUCAGGGCAGGACGGUGGGUAACACCCACCCGGAGCAAUCCGCGAGACAGUGCCACAGAGAGUAGACCGCCCUUCGGAUCCCUGAGCUUGUCGAAGGGCCCGAAGGGUAAGGGUGAAAGGGUGGUGUAAGAGACCACCGGGGGCCAUGGUGACAUGGCCCGCCAGGUAAACCUCGUCCGGAGCAAGGUCAGACAGAGGAUGUUGACGCGGCUCGCCGAGUCCUCGGGUAGACCGCUAGAGUGCCACGGCAACGUGUCGCCGAGAGAGAUGGCCGUCGAAGGGGCGAAGAACCCCGGAACAGAACCCGGCGUACAGGUCGGCCCAUUCG
rfam:Microbacterium oxydans strain BEL4b RS83_contig000026, whole genome shotgun sequence.